GCGAGCGCCGAGCCUGAGGGAGCGGCGGGCGCGGCGGGCCACGAUGGAUUUCCAGCAGCUGGCCGAUGUUGCGGAGAAAUGGUGCUCCAACACGCCCUUCGAGCUCAUCGCCACCGAGGAGACCGAGCGCAGGAUGGAUUUCUACGCCGACCCCGGCGUCUCCUUCUACGUGCUGUGUCCGGACAACGGCUGCGGCGACAAUUUUCACGUGUGGAGUGAGAGCGAGGACUGCCUGCCUUUCUUGCAGCUAGCACAGGAUUACAUCUCCUCCUGCGGCAAGAAGACACUCCACGAAGUCCUGGAAAAAGUCUUCAAGUCUUUCAGACCUUUACUGGGGCUUCCGGACGCAGACGAUGACGCAUUUGAAGAGUACAGUGCAGACGUGGAAGAGGAGGAGCCAGAGGCGGACCACCCCCAAAUGGGGGUCAGUCAGCAGUAGACCCCCGCGGGCUCUCCCUGGAUGAGGAUAGUGAGCCCUGCGGUACCUAGGCAUGUCGGUGUAAACCUGAUGGUCUCCACAUUUUCUGUUUAAUUGACUGGUGCUGUGCGGAGUUUGGCUGCUCGUGGUAAAACAGUGUACUGCAGUUUUAGGUCAUCGGGUAAAAUACUACCACAGUGGUUUCCAUCUGUGCUCCAGUACUCACAUCUUUUCUUUUCUUGGAAAAACAUACUAAAGGUUAAUUUCAAGUAAAAUGACUUUCCUUCCGGGUAGCCUGUUAGCAAAACAAAACUUAGUAUUUUGUUAGGGUGAGCACAUCCCCACCCUUCGCAGCGUUGCCUGUGUUCUGACCGGCUCUGUUUAUGAGCAGAGGGGAUUGCGAGCUGUAGGUUAUGUAUCAGUAGAUACCGCCCAGGUGCAAUAACCUCCAUUUCAACACAGUAGGCUACAAGAGUGACUUCUGCACCUGAAAUGAAAGAGGCUUGACUAGCUUGCUCCACUGGAAGGUAAACUGGAAUGUUAUAAAAUUUUAUAGGCUUAAAAUCUAAAUUUACAUAUGUUUGGAAAUUGAAUGGAUAUCAUCAUAAAAUGUCUUUUAUCGAAAAGGUGUUUAGACUUUGACCAAGUACAUGUCGGUAUUAUCAUGUUAAUGUUCUCUGUUUAUAAAAACUGAGCUGAGAUAGACUCAGCCAUUCAGUGGGCUGAUAAGAAUUCUGGUCUUUGUUCUGCCCAGGGGUAGGGUGUAGACAAUAUAGCUGUAUGUUACUUAUUUUCCAUGGCAAAACCCGAAAGGCAUUAACAAAUAGGGUUGUUUCCUCCAAAACUUCCUUUUCUCUGAUUGCCUGCUUUUCCCCUUAGUGCUUGCACACAUGUGCACACGCACACACUCACUCCUUCCUGCACUGUGGAUACUCUUACCGGGAAUGUGCCGGUGCAGAGCCUCACCUGGUGGGCAGUGAGGUCAGGCAGCCGUGGUUUCUGCUGUGGAGAUGGUUCCAUGCUGAAUCAUGUUCCUGACCUGUCCCCCGUGCAAACACAAACCACGAGGCAGCAGCAGGGUGGUGGGAGGAGCACCACCUGGGAGGUAGGAGAGACACCUGGGUUCCAGUCUCGACUCUGCCAUUGACUGCAUGACCUUGAUAAGUCACUUAACCAGUGCGUGGACAAAGGGUGUGUGCCCUUCCAGCUGUAAACACUGCCCUCUGUGCCUGCCUCGUGUGUGUAUACAGAGCAGCAGUCUAGGAAACUCUUGGAGACACAAGAAGGAAAUACAUCUGGGAUCUUGCCACGAUGCUGUCCUUAGGGUGUUGGCCCCAGAACUACCUUAGAACAUGUUGACCUGUGAGUGUCUAGACCCCCAGGACCCAAUCUUGCGGGGCUGACGAAAUUCUCUUCCUUAGAAGAGAGGGUAGAGGGAGCCCCCAGGAGACAUCUUUGUCUCAACCAUACAUGCUCUGCCUGUAGGAGACACAGCUUUUCCUCGUCCGUGGCCGACUGGGGCUUUGGAAAUGGUCUACGUUUAACCUAACUGAGAGGAGAUUUGCAUGAAGGAUAGCUGGGAGAGUGAAAGAUGAGUAUUACUACUUUUUUGCCAUGUCAUCUAGUAGGGAGAAAGUGACAGUGAAAGUAAAGAGAGAGUGAAUGAGAGAGCGAGUGCGUGGGGAAUGCUUGACUGCCCGCUCGCUGUGGGCCAGGUGUGAAACCGGAGCUCACACCUGUGAUAACGUUACAAAACCGCCAUCCUGGGUUUGAGUGAAUGAUGGAGACGUUUUUCUUAUGGCUACCUGGGUACUUUCCUCUGCCCAAUAAUAUGGAGCAGGCUUCAGGGAAUCAGAGUGAAUUGCGGAGCCAGGGAGGGAGGUGAGACCCCACGCAGUGCCUGCCACCACCAUGGAUUCAGUGGCACUAAGGUGUCCGCUCGCGACUCCCAGGCCCAUAGCAGCGCAUGGUACAUUGUGUUUUUCCACAGCUGGAACAUGAAAAGUCUCUUAUGUAAGGAUUCUCCUUGCAUCCUGGUACCACAAUUAGGUUUCCAGUGUACUUAAAUGAAAACCUCUCUCCUCUAGUAGUUGCUGUCAUUUUUCAUGUAUGAACAGGAACCAUUCUCUAGCACAAUAUGUCUCUCAAUAUUGUUUCUGUUUCAUAAGAGCACAAAAUAUAGGGACCUAAGGGAGCUGUGAUCCCAGGCGUCAUCAGAAUUUAUAUUUUAGGAAUAUGCCUAGUAUGUUAAAAUUCACAAGUUGGGAAACUGAUAUGAACAAAUCUGAUUUCCCACAGAGAGAGGCAGGACUUAAUUUGGGGUGGGGGAGAAGAAUAAGACAGAAUGAGAGAGUCGGGGUCUGACAGUAUCAUGUGAGACCCCGGAAAACUGUUUCCAUGCUCUCUCAUGAGACGCCUUCUGUCCUCAAAGGGACUGACUGUGUGGAGAGGCAGAGCCUUGUAUUGGCGGUGGCUUUGUGACUUUAAAAAUGCCCCCCAGCCAAGGAGACAGCACGAGUCCUGCUAAUCUGGUGGAGUUCUUUCCCUCCAUAAAAUCAGCUGCCAGCCGGAGAAGCCUGUCUGUGCAGACAGAUCUGAGAGGGGCUCCCACCCACUAGCAGGUAAACCAUGAGCCAUAUUUGGGUCUCAGUGGUGGCUGAGAGGAGGCUGUGGUCAGGAAUGCCCCCCCAGUCUAGAGGGCAGGGGCCCUCCUACUCCACCUUGCUUCAAGGUUGUAGAAAGAGCACAAUUCAAACUCAAGCGGAUCUCAGACCCCUCCUUCCCUCCAGUGAGUGGUAACUCCAAAGAGAUGCCGUUGCCAAUUGCUUAGUCUUCAGAGAAGCCUAAUUUUUUUUUUAAUUAAAAACUAAGCCUCUUUCAUAAAGACCCAAUCAAUUAUCCUGGUUUUGUGAUAACAGAUAUGACACAAGAAGUUGAAGUCUUUGACUUUAUAGAGUGAUUCUAAACCUUGCCAGAAUGCCAGUAGCCCGUGGUAUCCAUGAUAAUGCGGUGUCCAUGGUAAAAUAUCUAUAGCUCCUGCUCACUGGGCGCAUUGUUAAAUAAUAGGUUGUCUUUUAUAUUUUUAUUUAAAUUUGGAUUACAAAAAUACAGUACCUAUGAGCAUUUCAUGUUAGAAACCCCAUUUAAAGCACUAUAAAGCUGAACAGGCACAAGCAAUUAAAAGUGAGUGCCAAGCCACAUAAAAAUAAACAUUUCAUUUGCGUAGAACCGUAUUCACGUUGUUUGGUACCAGAGAGAAAGCUGACAGUUCUUUGUGAACUGCCUUUUCCUGUUUUUUUGUUUUGUUCUGUUUUUGUUUCUCCAGAUUGAUUUUUCCCCCCGAGCACCUUCUGAUGUGCAGGCAGGUGACGAUGCAGAGCAGCUCUGUGCCAGUGUCGGCUUUUAAGCGGGGUAGAAAUCUCCAGUGCGAAGGCAGAUCUGAACUCUCUGCGAUGCAGUCUUAAUUUGUGUAUGAGAGCAAAAUUUAGCCAUCUACACAAGAGGCAAAAGCUAGGAACAGUUGUUGGGGUUUUUUUUAGGCAAGAAAUGUUUCGUGUAGGGUAUGUGUGCUUUCUUUGCCUUCAUACUUCCUUUCAAAGAAAUCUCUUGUAAAUUAAAAAACUGUGAAAUGGGUUGCCAAAAAUUGUCGCCCUUUGUUAGAUGCUUCAAACAGUGUAAAUCCUAGAUCGAACCCCACCCUCUCCUGCACCCCACUUCCCCUGAGAGGGAGGGCCUCAUCCCACAAUGAAAUUACCAUACGCUUGCUAUUAAAGAGCCUUCCAAACUCU